rnacentral:lncRNA from 1 species
UGAAGGGAAAAAGAGUUCCUCGUUGAAAACUGCCUGGUCCCAAGCAUUCCCACGAGAGAGCCGAUUAGCGACUCGAUCCAAGAGCUCGAUUGAAGGAAUUGUCGGUCUAAUGUAGAAAAAGCCAGAGUUGUAAACCCAUAUCCGCAUUGUAUGGGCAUAUCUAGCCCAACCCAUUGCAGGUUCAUCGAAAACAUCAUUAUAACCAUAAGCUGUCAUAUUAUUGUGGCCAUCACUCAUGGAUUCCACAUCUGAAUCUCUAUAAAGAUAAUGGAAAGGAUUUUGCAAAUACACAAUAUCAACAUCUGAGAGAAGAACACUGUAUCCGAGCUGCAAAAAUUCCCUCAAUAUAUGAAAUUUCAGUCCUGAAACAGCAUGGUUGCCUCCAGUCUUUCCUACAGAAUCAAUUCCCUUGUCUGGGUCUCUCUUAUACACUGGAACAUCAUUUGAUUCACAAAACUUGGCAAUCUCAUCAUCCAAAGCAACAACCAAAUAGUUGGGUAUCCCUACUU